AUCAAUUAUCGGAGUUGAAAACAGGAAUAUUAAUAAGGUAAAGAGUAUAGUUUAUGCUCAAAGUCAUUCAGAAAUAUUUACUGUUUUCAAACAGGUUUCCCAAACUCUACGCUUACCUUCCAUUGGUUGUCAAACCCACGGCCCUGCCCCAAAUUCACACCAUUGGAUGAGUCUAUGUUGCUUUGGCAUGGUGGUUGUGAUGCUCAAACAAAGAGAAUGAGAGCCCUUGAUCUUCAGAUGUCACUCUUCAUGUCCUUUGUGACUUUUGCCCCGUGGCUGCGCCUCUCCUGCCGUCGCUAGCUCAGUGUUUACGUGACUGUUAACUUCUUCAACCCUCCGAUGAUGAGGGCUAAUCACAUUUGAAAUGCAGGCUCUGCUCUGUGAGUUAGUGAGUCUGGGGUAAAACAGUUUGACUUCAGAUGUCUGUCAGAGUACUGCUGUGUUUAGACAGAACUCAAACAAGUGUGUCUGCUCCUUGCGUGAUCUCACCCCCUCCACACCAGCCCAGUGCUCCAUCAGCUACUCCAUCUCCGCGAUGCCUCCAAGGUGCUAAUGAGUCUGCUCGCUUGGCCGGGAAUAGUUAACGUACCGAUCAUCCGCCGUCACUCCCUUGAAAAUCAAGUAUGCAAAUUCUGACCUUAUCCAUCCCCUCCUAUCCCCAUCAUCUUGAUUUGUAAGUAAAUCAUGCCUGUCAGUAUAGUAGCAACCCUGAUUAAAGUUCAGGGGUUUAAUAGAUCAUUUUAAAUAACCCCAAAUUACUCGCCUCUCCCUUGCCGAUCCACCUGGACCUCUGCCCUGGGUGCAUGGCUGUUUUCAGGCAGCGCAGCUCAGGCCAAGUCCAAGCUCGUGGUUCCUGCCUAUUCCCAGAGGGUCCCACGCUGCAGGCCUACACCAACAUUCUCAGCUGCAUUUAAUCUGCCUUCAGACAAACUGGCUAUGAGAAAAUGCAAAGGAAAAGGCGCACCAGUGGAGACAUGGAAAAUCCUGGACAGUUGGUGUGCUUUGUUCACUUGGUGAACUGGAGGCCGUCCAGGAACACCCCCCUCCGCCCGCCUUGCUCCCCUGGCGAUAUGAGUCCGUUCCAAUUAAUCGUGUUUAACCAUUCUAAUCACACUUUAGCACAUUAAUCCUAUUUUCAAUCCAAAACACAUCUGAAACGGGCAGCAUGUGGAGGGAUUUUUCCCCCCCCUGCACCUUUAUUGCCACCGCAAAUCAGAUGAAUCCCAGAGACUACGGGGCCCUAGUUCAGCCUGCACUCUGACUGAACUUGGACUUCAUAAAACACAUGGUCCACACUUUUUUAAAGGUGGAAUUUAUUGCGAGAUGGUGAUUCCACGGCUGAAAAAACUGACUUUUCGAAAUUGCCUAUGAUGAAGAGGCAGUUAGGAAAAUGCUAUUAUGAGAAGAGAUCAGGGGCUUUUCCGGCCCCUGUGUUAUUGCUGUGUAUCCCAUAAACACUUACAGUCGCUGUGUCUUAUCAGUCGCGCAUCCAAAGUCACCCGAGAGAGUCAUGGUCUUUAAACCCAAUUAAUCUGUUAACAGACAGCUCCCCAGGCAGCCAGGAGUAUCCAAAUUCUUGUGUUUACUUAAAAAAAAAUACUAAUAAUUUAAAGCAAAGGUCUCUAUUUCUGACAUCGCAAUGUAUCUCUAGAGUCAAUGAAAUAAAAAGGAAACAAAGAGUUUCUCAAGAAGCUUUGCAUUGGCUUCAGCAAAGUGUCACUUUCUCCUCCAGGCUCUUCUAGAGAAAUGCUGCAUCCAGUAUAUGGGGAUGUACUUAAAUUUUACAAGCAGUAAUGUAAUAAAUGGCUCUGCAUUGUUAAUUAAGGCCCGCAGAGCAAACAGAGAAUAAAAUGGUGCCCUAAUUACAGCUCUAAAAAGCACUCAACAGGCAAAUAAUAAAGUGGCACAAGUUUAAACUGUGGCUCAGAGCGAAAGAGAGUGUGCUGGCUUGAUUGAAUUUCAGAGGCAUGUUAAACGGCUGGCUAAUGAUAUUAGGAAUUAGUGAAACAAACAGUAGAUUUACUUAUACAAUAAACCCAUUGCAGAAAUCUUGGAAGCUGCUCAGACUUAAUGACAUCAUUGACCUCAGCCAGUAAAGCAAAGCAAUGAUGUAAUUACAGAGUGAAGCAAAUUUCUUACCACAACAACUUCUUAACAUCAAGACCCAGGUUUAGAUUCUGAACUUUACGAACAGAAAAUUCAGUUCCCUGAGAGGCGGGACUUGUGUGUGGUUAUGGAAUUCUGAUGACCCAUUUUUCCUUGGGUUUUUUACUUACUAUCUUGACGUCCAAAUGGAGACCUGCUUUGCUUGGUUUGACAAGGCAUUUUCCAGUUGGUAAAAGCAGUAACUCACAGAAGGCCUUUUUGAAAUGCAAGGCUUGCAUUGCUAGGCUAGUGUUUGAAAAUAUUCACAUGAUAUCUAAAUAUAAAAUCCUGAGGUGAGCAUGUGUUGGCUUUUUUUGUAAUUCACUGGUCGGGGGGAGGGGGACGAAGGGAAAAAACACAUUCUUUUUCUUUAGUGGUACUUAGGUAAACUAUUAGACAUCGUAGACAAACCAAAAUGUGGACUGUGAAAUAACAUUUAAAGCCAUGAUCUGCAAUUAUUUGCUACUUUGAAUGAACACCGUUGAUCCAAUUUAUGAUGUAACAACAAAGGAAGCAAAAUAUCGGUAUGAACCGCACACUAACUGCAGCACUAACAAUAAUUUAAUGAUAGUCCAAACUGUAUUAAGGUGACAGAUUCAUGGGGUGGAUUGUGCAUGGCCAUCAAUCUCAGUUAUGACAUUCCACUAAAGAAGGUCACUGGAUAUUGUCCUGGAAAUUCAGACAUGAAACAACUUUGGUUGACUAUAUGGUUUUUUUAUGCCUGUAAUACCUUGGUGAAAGCUAUGGUUAUGGUUUAAGCUCAGUCACAAUUAUCUAUUUCCAGUGAAUGAUUUGGCCCGAGAUGAUUUUUUUUGCAACCAUUUCAGUUCUGUACACUAUAUGUACUCUGUUGAAAAUCCCACAAUUAUGAACAUUAUAUUUAAGAUAUUACACGUUGCUUUGGAUAAGAAAAGCCUGUUUUCUGUAAUAGCUCUCUGUCCGGUUUUACCACAUAGCUAUUAUAUUGGGCUAUAGCAUGGUGGAGUGGUAGCACCAGAGUUUGAUGAUAAAAAUGCAGAAUCUAAAACUACAUGCUGGAAAAGCACAUAAACAUACCUUCUAGUUCAAAAUAUCUGCAAACGUCUUACGGUUAUACUGUAGUAAAAAAAAAAAAAAAACCUUGAAGUUGCAAAUAAAACAAAUUUCACGUUUAA